rnacentral:rRNA from 1 species
AUGGAAGCAGCAGCAGAUGAGGAGAAGCCACUACUGAUUCACUCUCAGGAUGAAGGUUCACAAUAUACAAGUGAUGGAACAGUUGAUAUCAACAAGCAGCCUGCUAGCAGGCGUAGCACAGGGAACUGGAGAGCAUGCUACUUCAUUUUGGGUGCUGAAUUCACCGAGGGAAUCUGUUUCUUUGGGAUCCAAAAGAAUUUGGUUACCUACCUCACGAGCGUGCUGCACGAGAGCAAUGUCGACGCCGCGAGGAACGUGUCGACUUGGAUCGGCAGUUGCUUCUUCACACCGCUUCUCGGAGCCUUCUUGGCCGACACAUACUGGGGGAGAUACCGGGCAAUAGUAGUCUUCCUCUCGGUCUACACCAUUGGGAUGCUGGUUAUGACACUGUCAGCGUCGCUCCCGGUGCUGAUGCCAUCUUUCAGCACCAUCGAAAUCCAGCGUGCUGCGGUCUACCUAGGGCUCUACCUCGUCGCCCUGGGGACCGGCGGCAUCAAGCCGUGCACGUCGGCCCUCGGGGCGGACCAGUUCGACAGCGCUGACCCGGUGGAGCGGGUGACCAAGGGCUCCUUCUUCAACUGGUACUACUUCCUGGUUAACGUCGGCUCCCUGCUGUCGACCACCGUGCUUGUGUGGGUGCAGGACAAUGUCGGGUGGGGAGUCGGGUACGCGAUCCCGAUGGUGUUCAUGGGCUUCGGCCUCGUCGUGUUCGUCUCCGGCAGGAAGGUUUACAGGUACAAGAAACUGGGUGGAAGCCCUCUGAAGAGGUUGUCACAGGUAGUCGUCGCCGCCGCAAGGAAUUAUCGUCUCAAGUUGCCUGAUGAUGACUCGGCCCUGCUGCUGCAUGAGGAGGAACUGCCGCCGAGUCAGGCGAAUUGCAGCACUGAGCGUACCAGUCAGUUCAGGUUCCUUGACAAGGCCGCCAUUGUAGUACCACCAUCUUCCGGCAAGGCUGUGGAGACGAUGGACCCAUGGAGGACGUGCACGGUGUCGCAGGUCGAGGAGCUGAAGAUGCUGCUGCGGGUGUUCCCCGUGUGGGCGUCUCUGCUCUUCUUCUUCGCGGUCACCGCUCAGAUGUCGUCGACCCUGAUCGAGCAGGGCAUGGCCAUGGACCAACACGUCGGCCGGUUCACGGUCCCGCCGGCCUCCCUCUCGACGUUCGACAUCCUCGCUGUCGCGGCCUUCAUCCCCGUCUACGACCUCGUGCUGGUGCCGCUCGUGCGGCGUGCCACCGGGAGGGACCGGGGCCUCUCGCAGCUGCAGCGCCUCGGCGUCGGCCUCGCGCUGUCCGUGCUUGGCAUGGCCUACUCCGCGUCGGUCGAGAUGAGGCGGUUGGCGGCGGCCAGAGCCGGCCGGAGGGUGAACAUCAUGUGGCAGACUCCGUCCUAUGUCGUGCUGGGUGUGGCCGAGGUGUUCACCAGCGUCGGCAUCAUGGAGUUCUUCUACGACGAGUCCCCGGAGUCCAUGAAGAGCAUGGGCGCGGCGCUCGCCCAGCUCGCCAUCUCGGCCGGGAACUACCUCAACUCCGCCGUGCUGGGCGUGGUCGCGUCGGCGACGGGGCGUGGCGGCGCACCCGGGUGGAUCCCGGAUGACCUCAACGAAGGCCACCUCGAUUACUUCUUCUGGAUGAUGGCUGGUCUCAGCGUGCUGAACCUGUUGAUGUUCAUCUACUUCUCGCUGAGAUACAAAGGCUAG